CCUACGGGUGGCAGCAGUGGGGAAUAUUGGGCAAUGGGCGCAAGCCUGACCCAGCAACGCCGCGUGAAGGAAGAAGGCCCUCGGGUUGUAAACUUCUUUUGUCAGGGACGAAACAAAUGACGGUACCUGACGAAUAAGCCACGGCUAACCACGUGCCAGCAGCCGCGGUAAUACGUAGGUGGCAAGCUUUAUCCGGAUUUACUGGGUGUAAAGGGCGUGUAGGCGGGAGAGCAAGUCAGAUGUGAAAUUCCAGGGCUUAACCCUGGAACUGCCUUUGAAACUGUUGUUCUCGAGUGAUGGAGAGGCAGGCGGAAUUCCGUGUGUAGCGGUGAAAUGCGUAGAUAUACGGAGGAACACCAGUGGCGAAGGCGGCAUGCUGGACAUUAACUGACGCUGAGGCGCGAAAGCGUGGGGAGCAAACAGGAUUAGAUACCCUUGUAGUC
rnacentral:rRNA from 1 species